rnacentral:tRNA from 1 species
GAGGGUAUAGCUCAAUGGUAAAGCGUAUGCCCAGCAUGAACGAGGUCCUGGGUUCAAUCCCUAGUACCGCCA